rnacentral:misc_RNA from 1 species
GAUGAAGAACGUAGCGAAAUGCGAUAAGUAGUGUGAAUUGCAGAAUUCAGUGAAUCAUCGAAUCUUUGAACGCACAUUGCGCCCUUUGGUAUUCCUUAGGGCUUGCCUGUUCGAGCGUCAUUUAAACCUUCAAGCUAAGCUUGGUGUUGGGUGACUGUCCGCUUCACGGCGGACUCGCCUCAAAAUUAUUGGCGGCCGGUACAUUGGCUUCGAGCGCAGCAGAAACGCGAACUCGGGCCCGUCGUAUUGGCUCCCAGAAGCUAUCUUCACAAUUUUGACCUCGGAUCAGGUAGGGAUACCCGCUGAACUUAAGCAUAUCAAUAAGCGGAGGA